rnacentral:rRNA from 1 species
UACGUAGGUGGCAAGCGUUGUCCGGAAUUAUUGGGCGUAAAGCGCGCGCAGGCGGUCCCUUAAGUCUGAUGUGAAAGCCCCCGGCUUAACCGGGGAGGGUCAUUGGAAACUGGGGGACUUGAGUGCAGAAGAGAAGAGCGGAAUUCCACGUGUAGCGGUGAAAUGCGUAGAGAUGUGGAGGAACACCAGUGGCGAAGGCGGCUCUUUGGUCUGUAACUGACGCUGAGGCGCGAAAGCGUGGGGAGCAAACAGGAUUAGAAACCCCCGUAGUCC